GACUGAGCCACAUACCUGACUGUGGUCUGGGCAGCUUAAUCCAGAGUCUUUGGAAGGCACAUGCCCUUAGCAUCUGGUUCAUUCACUGACAGAAGCCUCUCCGGCAGUGACUUUCAGACUUCUGACCACAUCCUCACCGUGGCAUCUCCUCAGGACUCGAAGUCAGGGGCUGAAGUCAGGAGGCGGAUGCAGAGUCCUUGCUGUCAGCAGCCCUGGGAGCUGGGGAGAUGCUCGUCUCUGCUCCAGAGCUCAGGGGCCCAAGCACAGGGAGGUAAGGACGUGGCCUGGGGACACGCCAGCGAGGUGUAGCACUGGCUGUGAGCACAGGUCCGUAUCGCUGCCACCUCCCCUCUGCCUGCUCCAAGGGUUCUGCCUUCCCAGUGACUCCAGUCGGGCGGUUCGGAAUUUCCCAACACCGGGGUGUCGAGUUAAGCGUUCGAACACUGUCUGCCUUCUUGUCUCAGGUGCAGGAGUGCGGCAUGGCCUCAGAAACUCAAGCCGACUUGGUUCUGUCUAGAUUACCCAGAUAGCAUAAGUAGGUAUCGAAGAUGUCAUUUUAAGAUGAGACCAGUUUAACGUACAUAACUUGCAGAGAGAUUUACUGCUUUAAAUUGGUAAUAACAACAGCAGUAAUAGCAGUAGGCACUUAAGUAGUGCUUCCCUUUGGCAAGUAUUGUUCUAAGCAUUUUAUAGGUGUGUUUUUUAAAAUAUUUGGCCACCUAAUACAAACAGCUUACUCUUGGAAAAGACGCUGAUGCUGGGAAAGAUUGAGGGUGGGCGGAGAAGGGGCGGCAGAGGAUGAGAUGGCUGGACGGCAUCACCGAGUCAGUGGAUGUGAAUUUGAGAAAACUCCAGGAGAUGGUGAAGGACAGGGAAGCCUGCAGUCAUGGAGUUGCAAAGAGUCGGAUUCGACUGAGCAGCUGAACAACAGCAGCUCAUUUAAUCCUUACAAUAGUCCUGGGGAAGAGGCACUGUUAGUAUUCCCGCUUUGCUGAUGAGGAAGCUAAAGCACAGAGAGGCUGCGUAACCCACCCGGGACCCACAGAGCACAGAGAAGCUGGGUAACCCACCCAGGACCCACAGAACAUAGGGUCUGAACCCCGGGCCAUCUGGCUCCUGAGUCCUCACCCGUCACCACUUUGUAAACCUUGCUUCCCAGAUAGCCUUUACUUAUCAAUUAUAGCUGAUGGAAGACACCUGUCUUCAUAGGGGAGCCCCUGUACUAGUUGACAGAGCCUUGUAAUAUCAGAGCCUCUGAGACAAACAAAGGGACUUGUUUAAAAUUGUUACCUGUUUUUAUGGUGCCUGA
rnacentral:lncRNA from 1 species